rnacentral:RNase_P_RNA from 1 species
GGAGGCGGGCAGGUGAUCGCGGGGCCUUCGGCCACGAGGAAAGUCCGGGCUUCACAGGGCAGGAUGCCGGAUAACGUCCGGCGGAGGCGACUCCCGGGAAAGUGCAACAGAAAACAAACCGCCGGGCCUGGCCCGGUAAGGCUGAAACGGCAGUGUAAGAGACUACCGCCUGGCUGGCAACAGACAGGGCAGUGUAAACCCCAUCCGAAGCAAGACCAACAGAGAGCGCAAGGCGGCCCGUCUGCUCUCGGGUAGGUCGCUGGAGCCGUCCGGCAACGGGCGGCCUAGAUAGAUGAUCACCCAACGACAGAACCCGGCUUAUCGCCCGCCUCCCAUA